rnacentral:rRNA from 1 species
CCUACGGGAGGCAGCAGUGGGGAAUAUUGCACAAUGGGGGAAACCCUGAUGCAGCGACGCCGCGUGAGUGAAGAAGUAUUUCGGUAUGUAAAGCUCUAUCAGCAGGGAAGAAAAUGACGGUACCUGACUAAGAAGCCCCGGCUAACUACGUGCCAGCAGCCGCGGUAAUACGUAGGGGGCAAGCGUUAUCCGGAUUUACUGGGUGUAAAGGGCGCGUAGACGGCCAGACAAGUCAGAAGUGAAAGCCCAGGGCUCAACCCUGGGACUGCUUUUGAGACUGCCGGGCGGGAGUGGAGGAGAGGUAAGCGGCAUUCCGAGUGUAGCGGUGAAAUGCGUAGAUAUUAGGAGGAACGCCAGUGGCGAGGGCGGCUUACUGGACUGUAACUGACGGUGAGGCUCGAAAGCGUGGGGAGCAAACAGGAUUAGAUACCCGGGUAGUC